AAAUAAAAAUCGGUGUUGUUGCCGCUUUUCGUGGUGACGAGUCGGAAUUGGGUCGUCUUACCUUCGGUUAAGUGACUUCAAAUUUUUUAUGAUUUUUGAACGUAUUUAAAUUUUUUUUGUACGUUUGAGAUAUCGAAUGUUUAUUAGGUUCGGUCAUCCUCAUGACUCGCGCCUAUAAUUUUUCAUU
rnacentral:misc_RNA from 1 species